CACCUCUCUUCCAGCUUUCUAUGUCACGUGAGGUCUUCAGAAAAAGGGAAAGAGCAAACAGCAUCCAGGGCUGAUAGCCUGACACUGACGGACUUCUAGCAGCAGAGUGAGCACCUAGCAAGUCCCAACAGCCACGGGAAGAGGAAGGAGCCCGAGCUCUCGUGGUGACCCAGGGGGCGAACGCAGACAGUGGGGCCAGUAUUCGUUACCUCUUCGUUGCCCUUCCUGCCGGCAGGGUCUACGGCAAAUGCUCAGUAGUGCUGAAUUGUAGGAGGCUCGCACUAUGCCUGCGAGGGAGGGGCUGGUUUCAUCCUACUUUGCAGGAAAGAAAGAGGCCCUGGAGGUGAAGUGACCUCUCCAUGGACAAACUGGACCUCUCCAGCUGGUAAAGCUGGCACUUACGUCCAUUGCCCACGUCUGGUGGACACAAGGGUGUGCUGUUGUGAGUGGUGUCACAUCUGUAACUUGGGACCGCCUCUGAUUUGGUGGGAGUAUUUACACCAAGGAAAUCGGCAAACGUUACAGAUGAGGUUUUGUCUCUUCAGCACGCUGUGGAUGAGUCACCAUCCUCCAGAGAUAGAGCCCGAAAGAAACCUCCACCUGCCUCCAAGGUCCACCCGCAAACCUUCGCCAGCCUUCUCUUCUGGAACCUCCUGAUGAGCUUGGCACACC